AACGAACGCUGGCGGCAUGCCUAACACAUGCAAGUCGAACGAUACCUUCGGGUCUAGUGGCGCACGGGUGCGUAACGCGUGGGAACCUGCCCUUAGGUUCGGAAUAACUCCCCGAAAGGGGUGCUAAUACCGGAUAAUGUCUUCGGACCAAAGAUUUAUCGCCUUUGGAUGGGCCCGCGUUGGAUUAGCUAGUUGGUAGGGUAAAAGCCUACCAAGGCGACGAUCCAUAGCUGGUCUGAGAGGAUGAGCAGCCACACUGGGACUGAGACACGGCCCAGACUCCUACGGGAGGCAGCAGUGGGGAAUAUUGGACAAUGGGCGAAAGCCUGAUCCAGCAAUGCCGCGUGAGUGAUGAAGGCCUUAGGGUUGUAAAGCUCUUUUACCCGGGAUGAUAAUGACAUUACCGGGAGAAUAAGCUCCGGCUAACUCCGUG
rnacentral:rRNA from 1 species